AUAUGUAAGUCACUACAGGGUAGACAAAAAACGGCCUUGUCACCUCGAUCAAGAGAGGGGCUGGGCUCGUUCUUUGUCUCCCCUGUGGCAACCUACAUAU